CCCCUAGAUGUUCUGGGCCGCACACGCGCUACACUGAACAGUUCAACAAGUCUUAACCUUGGCCGAUAGGUCUGGGUAAUCUUUGAACGCUGUUCGUGAUUGGGAUAGACCUUUGCAAUUAUGGGUCUUCAACGAGGAAUUCCUAGUAAACGCAAGUCAUCAGCUUGCAUUGAUUACGUCCCUGCCCUUUGUACACACCGCCCGUCGCACCUACCGAUUGAAUGGUCCGGUGAAAUCUCGGGACGGCGGCUUGGUCGCUUGCGUCCGACUGCUGAAACUUGAUUAAACCAUAUCAUUUAGAGGAAGGUGAAGUCGUAACA
rnacentral:rRNA from 1 species